GGGUCCCAGGUUUGGGGGUUGAUUGGAACCAGCCAGUAUGAUGAGCUGUACUUCCUUCUUUACCCCCAGGCUGUGGCUGCAA